AUUGAACGCUGGCGGCAGGCCUAACACAUGCAAGUCGAACGAGCGGCGGUCGGGUGAGUAAUGCCUGGUAAUUGCCCAGUCGCGGGGGGUAACCGUUGGAACCGACUGAUAAUACCUCAUACGCUUUGAUUUCUCAGGUGGGAUUAGCGAGUUGGUGAGGGAAUGGCUCACCAAGGCGACGAUCCCUAGCGGGUCUGAGAGGAUGAUAAGCCAAACGGGAACUGAGACACGGUCCAGACUACUACGGGAGGCAGAAGUGGGGAAUAUUGGACAAUGGGGGAAACCCUGAUGCAGCAAUGCCGCGUGUGGGAAGAAGGCUUUCGGGUUGUAAAGCACUUUCAGCGAGGAGGCGUUACUCGCAGAAGAAGCACCGGCUAACUCCGUGCCAGCAGCCGCGGUAAUUC
rnacentral:rRNA from 1 species